GCUGGGUAUGGUGGCAUGUGCCUGUAGUCCCAGCUACUCAGGAGGCUGAGACAGGAGGAUUGCUUGAGCCCAGGAGGUUGAGGCUGCAGUGAACCAGGAUCGCGCCACUGCAGUCCAGCCUGGACAACAGAGCGAGACCCUGUCUCAA
rfam:Pan troglodytes isolate Yerkes chimp pedigree #C0471 (Clint) chromosome 8, whole genome shotgun sequence.